rnacentral:misc_RNA from 1 species
CUGUCACCCAUUUGGUUGUUAAGGUUGAGCAAUUGAACCAGCGUGUCGAGAGGUUGAAGAAUCGGGAUUGAGGAUGGAGAUGGAGAGCGAAUCGUGGGUUUUCCAGUAAUUGGGUCUGUUUUUCCCUUUCCUCCUGUUUUGGGAUUUUUUUUUCUUUUUGAAAUUUCGGUUUUUGACGCUAUAUUAUGGUAAUUGCAGCUCGUUUUGUAUCCCACUUUGAUACUGUUAUAG